CAAUAGCGUAUAUUAAAGUUGUUGCAGUUAAAAAGCUCGUAGUUGGAUUUCUGGCAGAGGAACUAGGCCCGCAUGUUGCGUGUGCAAAGGUUCUCUACCAUCCUUCUGUUAACCCUCCUAGUUAUUGAUUUAACUGUUGGGAGCCCAGAUAUUUUACCUUGAGAAAAUUAGAGUGUUUCAGGCAGGCUAGCGCCCGGAUACAUUAGCAUGGAAUAAUAGAAUAGGACUUUUACCUCUUCUGUUGGUCUGAGGGGUUAAAGUAAUGAUUAAUAGGGAUAGUUGGGGGCAUUAGUACUUAACUGUCAGAGGUGAAAUUCUUGGAUUUGUUAAAGACUAACUUAUGCGAAAGCAUUUGCCAAAGAUGUUUUCAUUAAUCAAGAACGAAAGUUAGGGGAUCAAAGACGAUUAGAUACCGU
rnacentral:rRNA from 1 species